rnacentral:rRNA from 1 species
AUGGGCUCUUGUGGUGGGAUGGUGGUCUCUCGUGGAUGGCCUUGCGUCCUGCUCCUGCUGGCUUGUUGCUGGCUGUGCGAGGCCGGCGCGGGGUUGGCCCCGGCGCUAUACGUGCUCGGCGAUUCGCAGGCGGACGCCGGGACCAACAACCACCUGGUGACGGUGCUCAGGGCGGACCACCCGCACAACGGCGUCGACUACCCGGGCUGCAAGGCCACCGGCAGGUUCAGCAACGGCAAGAACUUCGUCGACUUCCUCGCUGAACAUCUGAAGCUACCGAGCAGCCCUCCUCCAUACCUGUCCAUCUGCAACACCCCAAGCAGCAAUUCCAUAUAUCUGACUGGUGUCAACUUCGCUUCAGGAGGUGCAGGGGUAUUAAAUCAAACAAAUCAGGGUCAGUGCAUCAGCUUCGACCACCAAAUCGAUCACCAAUUCUCCAAGGUGAAUGCAUCACUGGUGCAGCAGCUCGGCCAGGCUCAGGCUUCGGCACACCUGAGCAGAUCGAUCUUCGCCGUUGCAAUCGGUGGCAACGACAUACUCAAUUACGUCCGUCCAAGUCUUGUGAACCAGGUGCUAAGCCCUUGUCCUCCAACUCAGUCUCCUGAUGAGUUCGUCUCCUCGUUGGCUCUCUCGCUGAAAGACCAGCUGCAGAGGCUGUACAAACUCGGGAUGCGCAGGAUGUUCAUCAUCGGGGCAGCGCCACUGGGGUGCUGCCCGGUGCUGCGGGGGAAGGACGAGUGCGACGCACUAGCAAACUACAUGUCAGCUCAGUACAACAUCAAGGUGGCUUCCCUCCUGCGCGACAAGUACCCAGAUAUGCUCUACUCCUUGUUCGACCCAUCCAUUGCAUUGCUCGAUUACUUCCAGCGACCAGAAGCAAACGGUUACGCUGUGGUGGAUGCAGCGUGCUGCGGGCUAGGAGGGAAGAAAAACGCCAUGUUUAGCUGCACUCCGGCCAGCUCCCUCUGCAACAACCGGACCAACCAUGUUUUCUGGGACUUUGUGCACCCCACGGAGAUCACCGCGCAGAAGCUCACGGCAAUUGCCUUCCACGGAUCAGCACCCUUCGUGACCCCCAGAAAUGUUGGGCAGCUAUGUCCUAUGUGA